rnacentral:rRNA from 1 species
CAGUCGCCGCGGUAAUACGAAGGGUGCAAGCGUUAGUCGGAAUUACUGGGCGUAAAGCGUGCGUAGGCGGUGAGUUAAGUCUGCUGUGAAAUCCCCGGGCUCAACCUGGGAAUGGCAGUGGAUACUGGCUCGCUAGAGUGUGUCAGAGGAUGGUGGAAUUCCCGGUGUAGCGGUGAAAUGCGUAGAGAUCGGGAGGAACAUCAGUGGCGAAGGCGGCCAUCUGGGACAACACUGACGCUGAGGCACGAAAGCGUGGGGAGCAAACAGGAUUAGAUACCCGCGUAGUCCCUGUCUCUUAUAC